rnacentral:rRNA from 1 species
AAAUGUAGUGAAUUGAAACAUCUAAGUACCUACAGAUCAGAAAUCAACCGAGAUUCCUUUAGUAGUGGUGAGCGAAAAAGGAAAAGGCUAUGGUCGGAGAACUCCAUUAGAAUUGAGUAUAUGACUCAUACCAGAGAAGGUUAUAGUCCUGUAUAUUUGGAGUACCGAACAAUUUGACUAAGUAAGACGAGUAAUGGGGACACUUGUCGGAAGAUAGGAAGAUCACUUUCUUAGCCUAAAUAUUAUAUAUGACCGAAAGAGAACAAGUACAGUGAUGGAAAGGUGAAAAGUACCCAGGGAAUGGGGGUGAAAAGAUUCUGAAAUUUCAUAUUUAUAAGCAUCUGAAGCAUUGUUGAGUGUAGGCGACUAUAUAAGACGAAUGUGACAGUAUACCUUUUGUAUAAUGGGUCAACUAGUAUAUACUUUAAGCAAGCAUAAGUAGUUAUAUGAAUGCGAAGUGAACACGUAUUGAUAGUUUGAAGUAUAUAGCCCGAAGCCACUUGAUCUAACCGUGAUCAGAUUGAACACAUUUCAAAGUGUGGGAGGAUCGAACUCGUGUAUGUUGCAAAAUGCUGAGAUGAAUUGCGGUUAGGGCCGAAAGCGCAACCAAAAGUGGUAUAGCUGGUUUUCUGCGAAAGCUGUUUACGCAGCGUGUAAUAUUAGUUAAGAAGUAGGUAGAGCUCUCAAUGAUUGAGGGGGGUCCAAAGCUUUGCCAAAGUUAUUGAAACUUCGAAUUACUUUUUUAUAAUUUAUUGCAAACGGACUAUAGGUGAUAAGGUCUAUAGUCGAGAGGGAAACAGCCCAGAUUGUAAGUUAAGGUCUUUAAAUGUAUCACUUAGUGAAUGAGGAUUGACUUUCCGUAGUAUUGGUCGGGAUGUAGGCUUGGAAGCAGCCAUCAUUUAAAGAAAGCGUAAAAGCUCACUUGCCAAUUGGAAAUGUUAUCUGUAGAUGUAAAGAGACUCAAGUAUAAUACCGAAACUACAAAAUUUAAAAAUUGGUAGCAGAAUGUUCUGUAGGUUGGUUAGAUAAAUCGAUAAGAUUUGUUUCAAAUAUCAGAAGUAAGGCUGUUGAUAUGAGUAACACUAAACAAUGUGAGAAACAUUGUCACCGAAAGUCUAAGGGUUUCUGGUAUAGGAUGAUCCUAUCAGAGUAAGGCGAUCCUAAGAUUUAUACCAACGUUAAAAUCGACGGUAAAUUAAAUUUCUCUAAAUUAAGUUCUGUUGUUUAUGGAAUACAAAUAUUAAUUGGAUUAUUUUUGUGUUUAGCGAGCAACCUGGAAAAACUUAUUUGAACUUUUAUAGAAAUGUAUGAAGAUCGUACCUAAUCUGACACUGGUGGACUAGUAGAGUAUACUAAGGUGGUUGAGAUAAUGAUGUUGAAGGAACUCGGCAAAUUGACUCUGUAACUUCGGGAGAAAGAGUAUUUUAAAAUAAUUAAUUAUUUUAAAGAGGCGGAAAGCAGAAGGAGGGGACUGUUUAACAAAAACACAGGACUUUGCUAAAUCGUAAAGAUGAAGUAUUAGGUCUGACUCCUGCCCGGUGAUGGAGUGAUAAAUGGAUAAAAUUGCAUUUUGUGUACUUUUAUUUUAUAAUACCCAUUAAACGGCGGCCCUAACCCUAAGGGUCCAAAGGUAGCGAAAUUCCUUGUCUGUUAAUUGCAGACGUGCAUGAAUGGAGUAACUACUUCCUUACUGUCUCCAACAUCAUUUCAGUGAAGUUGAAUUUCCUGUGAAAAUGCAGGGUGCUAAUAGCUAGACGGAAAGACCCCAUGCACCUUUACUGUAAUCAUAUGUUUUUUUUAUUAAAUAACCUGUGUAGGAUAAACAUGAGUCUAUUAUAAAGACGAUCUUGAAAUAAUGUUUUUGUUAUUGGUAAAAAAUAUUAAAAUUUUGUUUUAUAGAUAGCGUAUGAUGGUCAGUUUUACUGGGGCGGUGGCUUCCUAAAUAAUAACGGGAGUAUACAAAGGUAAGUUUCCACUAUUUAGAACAUAGUAUGAACGUGUAAUAGUAAAAGCUUGCUUUAUUGCGUUAGAUUUACAAAUCGAGCAAUGACGAAAGUUGGUUAUAGUGACCCGGUGAUCCUGAGUGAGAAGGUCAUCGAUUAACGGAUAAAAGGUACGCUGGGGAUAACAGCUUAUACUGCCCUCAAGUCCAUAUUUACGGCAGUGUUUGGCACCUCGAUGUCGGCUCAUCACAUCCUGGAACUG